AAAUACCCUAGACUUUAGGCCCUAGACCUACGCCUAAAAAACCUUACACUCUAUCAGAUCCCUACCCGCCGUCUUACAAAGAGGGGCUCCUCGAUCUGCUUCUCCAGAAAAGGGGCUACAACCGCAGGACCCUAGUGAAAAAUCCCAGCCUUUCUCUUCAUCUUCCUCACAACAACGACCCCAGCGAUGCUCCUCUCUAAGAUCGGAACCAGUCGACCACCAAACUUGCCAGAAAAACUCCAGCUGACAUCGCUCCCUCACCACCAUAACUGGCCAGAAUCUGACGAGCAUACACACACAUACAGCAGCAGGGAACAGACAAACAUGAGAGGUGUUUGAUUGUUGGAAUUGCCAUCCGAUGUGGGGUCCACUGGUUUUGUUCGAAUUGGAUUUGUUGUUUUGAACUCCAUUCGUAGUUGCAGUAUUCUGUCCAUGAACCACCAAAUUAGAUUGAUUGUAAGACCAUUUUCAGGUCCAUAUCCUUUCAUCCCUCUUGUUAGUCAAUGAAUAUAAUUCUUUAUUUCAAUAAAUUUGAAUCUACUUAUGAUUUAUUUAACCAUGGUUA